AUUUUCACUGUAACUCAAGUUCUCCAAAACUGUCUGAAUCCUUUUGGCCUCAGAAUUGCUCUAGACAAACAGGAAGAAGCAUCUGGCUCCAUUUUCUGGGAUGAUGGUGAUUCUAUUGGUAAGCAGACUAACAGCACAAUAGUUGAAAUGUUCUGAAUUUCUAUAUGACUUUAUUAACAUUAUUGGAGACCUAGGCUCACAAAAUAAAUAUGAUGUAAUAAACAUCAUUAACAAAAUUCUGCUUUUUUCAACAUUACUGUACAGGAACAUGAAAUUUUCCUUAUCCCUGACACUCCUCUGGAUUAAGCAACACAGGUGAGACAUUAUCUCCAGGAAGGUGAUAACAAAAUACACUAUGGUUACCUGAAAGGAGAACAUAUUUCUCUGUUUUACUAGAGUGCUGAUAUAAAAUUUCUUCUCAUGAAUACAUUGGCAUUUUGGGAGGAAUGAGGACACCAGUCUUAAGGAGUAGGGAUUUGAAUGGAAAGUUGUAUAGCUGUUAAGUCAGAGAAAGAAGGGACUACUGAGGUUCUGUGGUGAACAGACCUGAACCCUUCGUUGAAUGAUGUGUAGUAGAGGAAAAAGAUACGGCUUGACCCAAGAAAACAGGUCAAGAUAUAGCUAGCAAAGGCACAACAUCAGUGUUUUUGUUUAUUUAUUUCUCUUUUAUUUAUCCAUGUUUUCCUUUGAUCUAAUGUCAUGGAUCAGUAAAUUAUUAGGGAAGACUUUUAGGCCCGGCAUGGCGGCUCAUACCUGUAAUCCCAAUGCUUUAGGAGACCAAGACAGUAGGAUCACUUGGGCCCAGGAGUUCAGGACCAGCCUGGGCAACAUAGUGAGAUCUUAUCUCUACAAACUGUUUUUAAAAAUUUAGCCAUGUGUCGCAGCACAUGCCUGUAGUCCCAGCUACUCAGGAGGCUGAGGCAGGAAGAUUGCUUGAACCCAGGAGGUUGAGGCUGUAGUAAGCUAUGAUUGCACUGCUACACUCCAGCUUGGGUGACAGAGUGAGGCCCCGUCUCAAGAAAAGGAUUUCCUCAGAACAACAGAAAUGACUCCCAUGAUAAGAAUGAUACAUACUUACUAUAUAGAUUGAUAAAUAUAUUCAAAGAGGCCCCAUUUUACAAAUCAGAAAUGAGUUUUCAGGGACUACAUCACAGACAAUAAUGCUUCUGAGGUUACUGCUCAAAGCAUUUCUUCUUUCUCCACAUUGACCUCACAUCUAUCAUCAGUGAGAAAGACAGGCAAGAAGAAGAAUCAUUUUAAUAAAAAAGAUGAAAAGAUUGAACAAGAGAAUGUGAAGCCAAAUACGAAGAUACUCUCCUAAUCUUACAUAUAGAUAAUAUGGCUCGUUGCUUCUGGAUAGAAAUUAAGGGAAGGUACAGAAGCCUCCCCAGGGCCUGGAUUUUCAUGAUAACCAGAACUCUUUUAUGUCCCUUUUUAGUUUAUUUUCUUUUCUUUUUCUCUCAGCGAAUUAUCUCAGGAUAAUCUGAUUAAAUAUCUAACACUUGAAAGAGAUUCUGAAUUUUAGAGGCAAGAAUUGAAAUCAGAAGAAUAUUGGCAGUGGGAGAGAGAGAUGCCGAUGUCAGUCUGUGAUUGUGUGUUUGCAUAUAUGGACAACAUAGAGAGCUUCAGGAGGAGGUUGUCCACAAUGUCAUUAUACCAUAUCCCUCCUUGCUAAAUGAAAGUGUUGAAAACAUGUCUAAAACAAAGCUCCUUGUCUCUUAUUUUUCCAUAUAAAAUGAAAGAAGAAAAUGAGGAAAAAGUGGAAAGUAUGGUAAGAUGAUGAGGUCUACUUCAUCAGAUUAACUUUAUUUUUUAUUUUCCAAAGAACAUCAUGAAAAAUGUAAGUUGGAGGCCAG
rnacentral:lncRNA from 10 species